CCUGCCCCUGCUCCUGGUGAAUGACCAGGAGCAUAUAGUGGUACAAUUACAACACAAAAUCAAAUAGGAAGCUACCUGCGAAAAGGAAUUUCUUGAGAAUGGGUGAUAAGGCGGAUUGGGGUGAUACUUUUUUAAGGCAUUUGAUUGAUACUUGCAAAGAAGAGAUUGAAGCAGGGAAUAGGCCGAUGG